UACGUAGGGUGCGAGCGUUGUCCGGAAUUAUUGGGCGUAAAGAGCUUGUAGGCGGUUUGUCGCGUCUGCUGUGAAAAUCCGGGGCUCAACCCCGGACUUGCAGUGGGUACGGGCAGACUAGAGUGUGGUAGGGGAGACUGGAAUUCCUGGUGUAGCGGUGAAAUGCGCAGAUAUCAGGAGGAACACCGAUGGCGAAGGCAGGUCUCUGGGCAUUAACUGACGCUGAGGAGCGAAAGCAUGGGGAGCGAACAGG
rnacentral:rRNA from 1 species